GCGAGGUGGAGCGAACCCCUAAAAGCCAUCUCAGUUCGGAUUGCAGGCUGCAACCCGCCUGCAUGAAGUUGGAAUUGCUAGUAAUCGCGGAUCAGCAUGCCGCGGUGAAUACGUUCCCGGGCCUUGUACACACCGCCCGUCACACCAUGAGAGCUGCGAACACCCAAAGCCGGUAGCCUAACCGCAAGGAGGGCGCUGUCUAAGGUGGGCGUGGUAAUUGGGGUGAAGUCGUAACAAGGUAGC
rnacentral:rRNA from 1 species